rnacentral:rRNA from 1 species
AACGAACGCUGGCGGCGCGCCUAACACAUGCAAGUCGAACGAGAAUCCGGGGCAACCCGGUAGUAAAGUGGCAAACGGGUGAGGAAUACAUGGGUAACCUACCCUUGAGAAGGGAAUAACCCGCCGAAAGGUGAGCUAAUACCCUAUACGCUAUCUUUUUUUCGAAAAGGAUAGGAAAGCCGGGUCGAGGACCUGGUACUCAAGGAGGGGCUCAUGUCCUAUCAGCUUGUUGGUGGGGUAACGGCCUACCAAGGCUACGACGGGUAGCUGGUCUGAGAGGAUGAUCAGCCACACUGGCACUGAGAUACGGGCCAGACUCCUACGGGAGGCAGCAGUGAGGAAUAUUGCGCAAUGGGCGAAAGCCUGACGCAGCGACGCCGCGUGGGGGAUGAAGGUUUCGGAUUGUAAACCCCUUUCAUGAGGAAAGAUAAAGUGGGUAACCACUUAGACGGUACCUCAAGAAGAAGCCACGGCUAACUUCGUGCCAGCAGCCGCGGU